AGGUUAAGCUAAUAAGAGCGCACGGAGGAUGCCUAGGCACUAGGAGCCGAAGAAGGACGUGGCGAACAACGAAACUGCCUCGGGGAGCUGUAAGCAAGCUUUGAUCCGGGGGUGUCCGAAUGGGGAAACCCGGCUGUCGUAAUGGGCAGUCACCGCUGACUGAAUACAUAGGUCAGAGGGAGGCAAACCAGGGGAACUGAAACAUCUAAGUACCCUGAGGAAGAGAAAACAAAAGUGAUUCCGUCAGUAGCGGCGAGCGAAAGCGGAACAGCCCAAACCAAGGAGCUUGCUCCUUGGGGUUGUAGGACGUCUCACAUGGAGUUACAAAGGUGUUGGGUAGGCGAAGAGGUCUGGAAAGGCCCGCAAGAUGAGGUAAAAGCCCUGUAACCGAAAGUCAGCACCCUCCGAGACGGAUCCUGAGUACCGCGGGACACGAGGAACCCCGUGGGAAUCCGGCAGGACCAUCUGCCAAGGCUAAAUACUCCCUAGUGACCGAUAGUGAAGCAGUACCGUGAGGGAAAGGUGAAAAGCACCGCGGGAGCGGAGUGAAAAAGAACCUGAAACCGUGCGCUUACAAGAAGUCAGAGCCCGUGUGCGUCUUUUCCUUUGGAAAAACGCCGGGUGAUGGCGUGCCUUUUGUAGAAUGAACCGGCGAGUUACGAUCCCAUGCGAGGUUAAGCCGAAGAGGUGGAGCCGCAGCGAAAGCGAGUCUGAAUAGGGCGAAUGAGUAUGUGGUCGUAGACCCGAAACCGUGUGAUCUACCCCUGUCCAGGGUGAAGGUGCGGUAACACGCACUGGAGGCCCGAACCCACGAAUGUUGAAAAAUUCGGGGAUGAGGUGGGGGUAGCGGAGAAAUUCCAAUCGAACUCGGAGAUAGCUGGUUCUCCCCGAAAUAGCUUUAGGGCUAGCCUCGGUAUAGAGUAUCAUGGAGGUAGAGCACUGAUUGGAUGCGGGGCCCGCCAAGGGUUACCAAGUCUAGUCAAACUCCGAAUGCCAUAGAUAUGUUUACCGGGAGUCAGACAGUGAGUGCUAAGAUCCAUUGUCAAAAGGGAAACAGCCCAGAUCAUCAGCUAAGGUCCCCAAGUGUGUGUUAAGUGGGAAAGGAUGUGGAGUUGCAAAGACAACCAGGAUGUUGGCUUAGAAGCAGCCACCAUUUAAAGAGUGCGUAAUAGCUCACUGGUCGAGUGACUCUGCGCCGAAAAUGUAACGGGGCUAAACACACCACCGAAGCUAUGGCUUACACUUUUAAGAAGUGUUAGGGGUAGGGGAGCGUUGUAUAUAGGUUGAAGUCAGACCGUAAGGACUGGUGGACAGUAUACAAGUGAGAAUGCCGGUAUGAGUAACGAAAAGACAAGUGAGAAUCUUGUCCGCCGAAAGCCUAAGGUUUCCUGAGGAAGGCUCGUCCGCUCAGGGUAAGUCGGGACCUAACGCGAGGCCGAAAGGCGUAGUGGAAGGACAACAGGUUGAAAUUCCUGUACCACCGUAAACCGUUAUGAGCAAUGGGGUGACGCAGAAGGGUAGUGACGCGGACUGAUGGAAUAGUCCGUCCAAGCAGUGAGGCUGAUGUGUAGGCAAAUCCGCACAUCGAAAGGCUGGGCUGUGAUGGGGAGGGAAAUUUAGAGUACCGAAGGUCAUGAUCUCCGGCUGCCGAGAAAAGCCUCUAGCCAGGUGAAGGUGCCCGUACCGCAAACCGACACAGGUAGGCGAGCAGAGCAUGCUAAGGCGCGCGGAGUAACUCUCGUUAAGGAACUCGGCAAAAUGACCCCGUAACUUCGGGAGAAGGGGUGCCUCGGUAGGGUGAAUAGCCCGAGGGGCCGCAGUGAAAAGGCCCAAGCGACUGUUUAGCAAAAACACAGGUCUGUGCGAAGCCGCAAGGCGAAGUAUACGGGCUGACGCCUGCCCGGUGCUGGAAGGUUAAGGGGAGCGGUUAGGGAGUAGUCCCGAAGCUGUGAACCGAAGCCCCAGUAAACGGCGGCCGUAACUAUAACGGUCCUAAGGUAGCGAAAUUCCUUGUCAGGUAAAUUCUGACCCGCACGAAUGGCGUAACGACUUGGGCGCUGUCUCAACGAGAGAUCCGGUGAAAUUUUAAUACCUGUGAAGAUGCAGGUUACCCGCGACAAGACGGAAAGACCCCAUGGAGCUUUACUGCAGCUUGAUAUUGGACUUUGGUACGAUCUGUACAGGAUAGGUGGGAGCCUGGGAAGCAUGAGCGCCAGCUUGUGUGGAGGCGACGUUGGGAUACCACCCUGAUCGUAUCGGAGUUCUAACCCGCUACCGUGAAUCCGGUAGGGGGACCGUGUCAGGCGGGCAGUUUGACUGGGGCGGUCGCCUCCUAAAAAGUAACGGAGGCGCCCAAAGGUUCCCUCAGAAUGGUUGGAAAUCAUUCGGAGAGUGCAAAGGCAUAAGGGAGCUUGACUGCGAGACCAACAAGUCGAGCAGGGACGAAAGUCGGGCUUAGUGAUCCGGUGGUACCGCAUGGAAGGGCCAUCGCUCAACGGAUAAAAGCUACCCUGGGGAUAACAGGCUUAUCUCCCCCAAGAGUCCACAUCGACGGGGAGGUUUGGCACCUCGAUGUCGGCUCAUCGCAUCCUGGGGCUGAAGUAGGUCCCAAGGGUUGGGCUGUUCGCCCAUUAAAGCGGUACGCGAGCUGGGUUCAGAACGUCGUGAGACAGUUCGGUCCCUAUCUGUCGUGGGCGUAGGAAAUUUGAGAGGAGCUGUCCUUAGUACGAGAGGACCGGGAUGGACGUACCGCUGGUGUACCAGUUGUUCCGCCAGGAGCACCGCUGGGUAGCUAUGUACGGACGGGAUAAGCGCUGAAAGCAUCUAAGCGUGAAGCCCCCCUCAAGAUGAGAUUUCCCAGUAUGUAAGACCCCUUGUAGACGACGAGGUGGAUAGGUUCGGGGUGGAAGCGCAGCAAUGCGUGCAGCUGACGAAUACUAAUCGGUCGAGGGCUUAUCCUAA
rnacentral:rRNA from 1 species